CAACACUGCCCGUCCACACCUAUUAGAACGCCACGAACUUUCCAGAGACUUCUUCGACAGGCGUCCGUCAACCUACACCAAGAAGGCUGUCUCCCCUUCAUCACGACGGGUGAAUCUCUUAGCGCCUCAAGGAACGCAGGGAAAACCAAACGAGAGCAUUUCCUCGUCCCGCUCCGUGGUUUCCGUUUCUCCGCACGCAGCAGCCAGCUGUGGCCCAGUGCACGCGACGCAGAGAAGCGCCGUGUCAGUACGCGUGCGAAUGUGAAAUCCCGAAGCAAACCCGAGGGGCGCUGGAUCGAAAACGGCCGUUUCCUUGGCAAACGGGCGUCCCCUACACGAGGCAUCGUCUGUGCCCCGUUCUCGAGCAUAGCGAAAAAUGCUAGGGCUGCGUCUCUUGUCUUGGACAUAAAAACAGUGAAGGAUUUUCCUUCCAGAGAGGCUUGAAGCAUCAAGGUCGUGUGGACGAAAGCCGCCUGUGGGGCGAAAACGCGACAACGUCUGCAGCCCUCCGUACCACCGUUUGCGUCUCUCCCUUUCUUCGUGUCGUUAGCCUAUGAAGGAAAAGACGCUCUGGGAGACGUUGACGUACUACGAAGCGCAGCACAUGUUUGUUGACAAAUACCACCGAACCAAUCCAGUGUAUCGCGUGUUGCCUACGGCCCUCAAUCCGGACAUUCUUGCGCCUGAAGCCUCAAGAUUCAGUUCGCCACAAAACGCGCCGUUCGAACUCGAGGAAGUCCGACCGAAGCGGCGAAGGCCAGGCCUGCUCACAAACUUCAGCCAAGGCCUCGGGCUCCAGGAACACGUGCGAUGUCAUUUGCGGGCGACCAUUGCAGCGAACGUGGGAGUCUCUCGCGCCGCCGACGGCCGUUUCCCUCGCGCGCUUCCGGUGUCUCUGGACCCUGUCCUGAUUUUGUCGGAGCAUCUUCCGCCGGAAAUUGGGGAUGCGGUGAGGCGGAAAACGAUGGCGCCUUCACCUGGAGAACUCCGGAAGGCGGAAACAGGCGUUGGGAUCUCCUCGAGCCUUCACACCCAGAGCUCUUCUUCCGGCGCGAGACCUGAGACGCUUUUCGAUAACUCUUGCUCUCUCGGUAGGCACCUGCGCACCCCGCCUUGUGCGCUGGAGGAAGGACGCGCUCCCCAAUGCGCGGCUUCCACAGACAGCCUCAAACGCUCACGCGUCGCGCAAGAAGGCGAGACAGGAGACAUAGGGACAAAAAAACGUGGCACGGGAGACAGAGAAACGUUCAGGCAGCAGGGAGAGAGAGACGAGAGUUGUUCGGGAGAGAGGAAGAGAGAACGUGUGGCCUCGAGGCAGGACACGAGACAGAAGUGACUGUGAAAGCGAGAGGGGAGGACUCGGGCAAUUGUUCGACAAGAAAGACGGUUCACAGUCUGUGUCUAGAUUUCAUAGGGUUGCGUUUGGGCCUCUACCUGAGGGCCGACAAGCGACCGCGACUUCGAACGGAGCAGCGCGGAGAGAAAACGAGGUCAGAACACCCGCACGUACACGGUCUCUGCCGGCGAGUGUCUCAAGAGCAGAAAACGCCGCGACAUUCGAAGCGGAUGAGCACGCGUUCGGGCUAUCCCCAUCUCUCACGUGCUCCGUAGCGUCAUCUGAUUCGCCUCACGCGACGUCAAACGAGGCAGAGACAGAACGCCUGGCUGCCAACUUCGACGAGGAAGGACAAGAAACACAAAAACACCUUCGCGUAGAAUCGCCUUUCCACGGGACUGCGCCUGGAAGUCAACGUGGAGAGCUCUAGAGCGCUCUUGACUCUCCACGAAAAAGG
rnacentral:lncRNA from 1 species